rnacentral:rRNA from 1 species
GACAGAGGGUGCAAACGUUGUUCGGAAUUACUGGGCGUAAAGCGCGUGUAGGCGGCAGGGCAUGUCGGAUGUGAAAUCCCGUGGCUCAACCACGGAAGUGCACCCGAAACUGCCCAGCUUGAGUCUCGGAGAGGAAGGCGGAAUGCUUGGUGUAGAGGUGAAAUUCGUAGAUAUCAAGCGGAACACCGGUGGCGAAGGCGGCCUUCUGGACGAUGACUGACGCUGAGACGCGAAAGCGUGGGGAGCAGACAGG